AGACGAGGGGUGCUAGCGUUGUUCGGAAUCAUUGGGCGUAAAGCGCAUGCAGGCGGCUAAGACAGUCAGACGUGAAAUCCCUGGGCUCAACCCAGGACGUGCGUUUGAUACUUCUUAGCUUGAAUGUCGAAGAGGUUCGUGGAAUUCCAGGUGUAGCGGUGAAAUGCGUAGAUAUCUGGAGGAACAUCGGUGGGGAAGCCGGCGGACUGGUCGAACAUUGACGCUCAGAUGCGAAAGCGUGGGGAGCAAACAGGAUUAGAAACCCGUGUAGUCC
rnacentral:rRNA from 1 species